rnacentral:rRNA from 1 species
ACCUGUUGUCACGCCAGUGGCAUGGCAGGGUAGCGAAGUUCGGAACGGAUAAAUGCUGAAAGCAUCUAAGCGUGAAACCGGCCACAAGAUGAGAUAUCCCAUAACUUUAAGUUAGUAAUACCCCUUGAAGAACACAAGGUUGAUAGGUCGCAGGUGGAAGUGCAGUAAUGUAUGCAGCUGAGCGAUACUAAUAGGUAGAGGGCUUGAUCAUAU